CCUCACAUCCUAGUACUCUGCCAUCUUCAUUCAAUCUAUCACUUAUUUCUUUCUAUAUUAUAAAGUUGAGUUUUUCAAGUUUAUUUUUACCCCUCACCUCUAAUAUUUGUUUAUUCUAGUACUUUGCCUUAAAGUAUAAACGUCCUUCAAACUACUCGAUUAAGAAAAGAAUAAGCCUAGGAAAAUAAUCUUAUUCUUUCCUCUCCUUUCUCUCCACAAAACAGCAAAUCAUAUUUUGUGCCAUAAUACCUUUCUUGCAACUGUUAUAUCUAAAAGAGUGACAUUUAAAGUACUCUGACUUCACAGCAUGUCGCUACGUCCUUUGAUCCUAAGUUUUAACUUCUAAAAUAUUUGAAAAAAUUAAAUAUUUGGGUUGUGUUUAUUGUACACUUUAAGUUGAAGUCUUUGUUUUCAAGUUUUUUAGACCUGUCUCCUUUGGUGCAGCUAGGGAGAGGUUAGGUCCUUUGGGAGAAAGUUUUAGAAGAAAUUUAUUGCAGAACCUCCUGAAAUAGGGGUAAUCUGCCCUCCUUGAGCACAUCCAGAGAGGCUAUUGUGGUAUUUGUGCAUAACUUUCAGGAAGCUGAGUGCAACUUAAACCAUUCCCACACUAGACCUUUUCCACCCUUUCCCAAGUACCCCUGUUUCAUCUUAGCCAAGUUUUCAGAUUUGUAGACUAUGUGACAGCUCAUGUAAGGCCAGGACCCUCUGGUAGAGAGCCCCUAUGGUGGUUCAUGACUUUGGCUCUCAUCCAUCUAGAAGUCCAAGGCUUUAUCCCUCAAAAAACACUCUGGAUUUUCUUUCUGAAGCUGAUUGAGAAUAAAUAUUAAUUAUUCUUUCUUCUGUAUUCAUGAGGGAAAAGAAAGCAUUAAAGCCUAUAUCACUCUUAGUUGUUUUUAUUUAAAUAAAGAAUCUCACAUUUAAAUAAAUAACAUCAGAUAUUUAAAUUCCACAAGGAGGAGUUUAAAUUACCUAAAAAAAAGUACUGAGUUGUUUUGUUUUGUUUUGUUUUUACACAUGCUGAAAGUUUUCUUUCAGAAGGUUUAGUUCUGGUUGAAUUGAAAAGUGGAGACUUGAUAACUGCUUGGAAAGCUUUGAAAGUGUGCUGAUGGUAUGAGGUAGGUAGCAGCAGUUUAAAAAUAGGUAGACUUAAGAGACAAGUAGGACAGGAGAAUCACUUGAACUUGAAAACUAAUUGUUGAAGGUGUAGGAGACAGAGGAAGGAAGAUGAAAUUGGAAGUUUUUUUCCUUUAAAAUUUUCAGACACAAAGCACAGUAAAAGUCAUUUCUCUAGGAUUUUGAUGGACUUUGACAAACCAAAUUCUUGCCUACAAAUUUAGAGCACAUAAUUUCUUGAUACAAGUGUCUAAUCAUGUUCGUGAAUUUAGUUUCUUUACAGAGAUACGGGUAGAGAAUAUACAUUAAAAUUAUCUUUCUCAUCUAAUAUUGGAUUUAGAUAAAGAGUAUCUUAAGGGACUGAAGGCUCACAAUAUAUUGAUUUUGAAUUACAAUAAUUAAAAUUAGACAUCUGGAGUUUCUGCCAAUUUAACUUUCUCUGCUCUGCAAAACCCCAUUAGAGACACAGAAAAUUGUAGAACUGUGCACAUAUUUGCAAAUAUUUCAGUAAUUAAAUUAUCUAUAUAUGCACUUAAUUGUAUAAUAACUGAAUAUAUUUCAGUAUGCUUCAAGUUUAAAUGAUCCAAUAUGUUUCCAGUAGAAUUGUGUUCAUUUAUAUAUUUGUCAUUUUGGAAAAGCAAUCACAUUCUUAGAUCUAUUGGACAGAAACUCAUUUUUAGUUAAAUAGUUGUAGCUAUAAAAUGCUAAUUGUGUUCAUAUGCAUGGAUUACUCCAAAAACACAUAUAUGGGUUUGCAGUUGUAAGAAACAGAGUUUAAAAUUGAGUGAUUGUGGAAGUAUCAUUAUAAGUACUGUAUUAGACAUUCACACAAGAAUGAAAAGGCAAGCUCUAAAAGGAAACUGGUUAAAAUUACAUGAUUGUAUUUUUGUAUAUCUUAGGAUGAAAGCUUCGUGAUUAUAGGGCCAGUAUGUAGGUAUGCUUUAAUUCUGUAUUCUGAGCGUUUAGAGCAGAACCUGACACACAUACAAAGUUAUCAGUGAAAUAUGUAAUUAACUGUAUGUAUAUAUUAAGCCUAUAUGUGUAUGUAUCUACAAACAUAUAUCCAUAAGCAUAUAUAUAGACAUAUACACACAUCUACAUAUGCGCAGGAAAAAAACCUUAAAAAUGUUUACCAUUGGAUAUGGGAUUGUGGAUUAUUUAAUUUUUUCUGUACAUUUUAUAAAAUUUCCAAAAUUUUCUUCAAUAAGAGAUAAUUAUUUUUUUAAUUGGAUUAAAUUAGCAAUGCUAUUAAGAAUAUACACAUUAGGAAAAUGAUAUGUACAAUAAAAAAAUCUCAUGUUUUCUUCAAUGCAUGUAAAAUACUAAAUCUUUUAGAAAAUAUCAACAAUUAAAAUUCAUUGGAGUUCUUUUCUAUGUAAUAUGGAAACUUCACAGACCAUUAUCUAGUUUAAUAACCAUUUCAUAAUUUCUCCAAGAUCUUCCAGGGGGGAUUAAUUUGUGAAUAACUGCUAAAAGGCUAUUUCAUUGCCAGUUUUCUUGUGCUUGGUGUCAUUUGAGAGUUAGUGAGCUUUAGACUGGCUAUAAGGUCCUAAUUUUCGAUUGCUGCAAUCAGUGAUCUUGUGACCUCUAAAGCCAUUAUAAACUAGAGGAAGAAUGACCUAGAAAAGUCGCAUUGCAGAUAGAAUCCUUACUAUCUUUUUAAAUGGGAAAUUCAAAAGGAAUGAGGAGUCAAUCCAUGGUUUUUGUUUUUUGUUUGUUUUAGUUUGGUUUUGUUUUUAACUUACCUAAUAAUAGCUAAAAUUUAUUUAGAACUUGUGCAUCAGGUUAUUUUCUCACCACACUAUAUAUAAAAUUUACUUAAUUUUCACAUUCCACAGAAAUAUAAACUAUUUUGCAGUUGAGGAAAGUGGGGUACAGAUGCAUGCUAUCUAAUUAAUGAGUGUACAAACCAGAAUUUCAAUCCAGGCAAUCUGACUGCAGAAUCCAUAAUCCUGACCUUAGUGAUGGACUCCCUGCCAGUUCUCCAAACCUGGAGCUUCAUCAUUGUCUAACAGAAUGAAGAUUGCCCCUGGAAACAAGAUGGCAAGAUUAUAAUUUUUCUAGAAACUUUGGCAAAACCUUACAUCCCUGAUUGGUAAUGAUCUCAGUUGCAAAAUGUGGGACAAUUUUACUUGUCUUUCUUAGAAGCAUUAUGUUGUCCUUUGUGAUAUUUUGCAGGCCCUUCUUGCUCUAAUAAUUUUGUAAAUACUCCUUUUAUACAAUUCACUGGAAAAUCUUGAGAGUGCGAAAUACCAGAAAGAUAUAUUUGCUAAAAUAAUUUUUUUAAAAAAGGUUUUAAAAAGCCUGAGGAAUUCUUAUUUCAAAAAAUAAAUGAAUAAAGAGGAACGAGCGUUAAACAAAAACAACCUAUAAAAACUAUGCUUGUUAUUUUUACAACUCGGAUCUAGCAAAUAUUCAUUUAAAAAAUAAGUUCAGUGCUAUUUAACCUUUUCCACAUUAAUCAUCCCAAUUUAUCUGCUAAAUCUAGUAUAACCCUACUAUUAUUAUCUGAAAAAGACCACAAAAAGAAAAGUAUAAAUCCAUCCAAUUCCUAUUGUGUGAGAAAUGAAAUAGAAUAAUAAUGAAAUAAAUUUAACCUCAACCUAAAAAUUAUUGCUUUAAUAAGCAGAGUUAUUACAGGAGAAGGAUCAUUAAAAAUCAGAAACUUCAUCCAUGAAAAUAAUCAUUAAUAAAAGUAAUCAAAUAAAGGUAUUAAGGAAAACAUAAUAAUCACAGUAAGUGCUGAAACAUUUUUAUAAAAUUCUGCAUCCUUUUUUGGUGAGAGGAAUAGACUGAUAAUGCUGUGGUCUAAACAUCGAUAUGAAACAAAUAGCUGCUAGUUAUUAGAAGAAAGAUAGGAUUUCAACUUGAGAAAUAUCCAAUAUGUUUUUUAAUACUUUCUAGAUAAAUAAAUGAGACAAUGAAAGAAAAUAGAAGCAAUAGAAUGGAAGGCACUGUGUUUACAUUAUUUACAGUUAUUUUAACUGUCUAUUGUGGCAUUUUCAUGUAUCAGUUUAGCCAGACCUCAUUAUAUUUCCCUGAAUUCCCUUGCCUAUAGGUUUCCAGUUAGAGAGAUCAACAACAGCAAAGAUUUUUAUGACCGAUUUAGAGGGCAGAAAUAAAGCAGCAGCCGUCAUGUAGUGCGCACAUGUUGCUGUUUGUCUGCUGACUCCCCUCAUUGUGCCUUGUCUUAGUCUGUUGGGCUUGUAUAGCAAAAUGCCAUGGACUGGGUGGCUUGUAAACAACAAAAAGUUAUUUGUCACAGUUCUGGAGGUUGGAAGUCUAAGAUCAGGGUGCUAGCAACAUAAGCUGGAAGACGUUUUCUGGCCCCAGAAUUUUUGCUGUAUCCCACAUGGUGGAAGCAGUAAGAGAGUUUGCUAGGUCUCUUUUAUAAGGCACUAAUCUCAUUCAUGGGAACUCUACCAAUAUGAUUUACUCAACUUCCAAGAGCCACAACUCUUAGCACUGUCGUAUUGUGCACUAGGAUUUCAAUAUAUGAAUUUUGAGAAGGAUACAAACAUUCCAAGUAUGGCAGGCCUGCCACUGCUCAACAUUCCUUCAAAGACCCCAUUAGCUUGUCUGGCACCUGGGCCAGAAUGAUGAUGAAGAGACUUGGAUUCUGCAGGAUCUCCAUGCCGGACAAGAGAUAAGAACUGACAAGGAUUUUUGUCUGUAUUCAAAGGCCCCACCUUGCUUAUGCGGUUCAGCUUGUUUUUCCUCUUCUCCAUUUUAAAUACUUUCCCUUCCCAACUGCCUUCCUUAUGAACUUCAAACUCUGGCAUCAAACCCAAGGACAACAGCCUUACAGAGACUGCUUAAUCAUUUCCUACUACUGUGUAAAAUCAAACCCUUUAUGUAUAUACUUCCUAAUGUUUCAGCUUCUGUGACUGAACCCUGAUGAUAUACUAACUGGAAAACUUGUAAGAAUCAACAGAAAAUUCCUGUGGACUUGACAAUCCCGAGAGAGUAACUAGUCUCAAGGAAAAUGUAUUAAUGGAAGGUGAUAUUUCAAUUACCAGUUAUCAUUUACCAAGAGACUAGAGAAAAAUAAGGGACAAGACGACCAUCUCACUCAAAAUAAUAACAAAACCACAAAUGGCCUAGGGAGAAGUGAAAUAAGAAGUGAGUACCUACAUAAGGAAAAGUAAAGCCCCCUUUUUUUUUUGAGAUAUAAGAAAUAGAAUAGAGAUAUCAAUGUUCAUAAACAGAAAAAAGUUAUAUUGUGACAAUUUCAGUUAUAGCUUUCAAAACUUAAAUUUAGCACAAUUUAUAUAAAAAUUCAAUCCAAGAAGGAGAUGCUAAAAUCAUUAGGAAAAUUUAAAAUGGUCCAUCUGGAACAUUUUAUAAGAUUGUCAUUAAUGAAACUUUAAUCUUAUUAGAUAAUAUAAUGGAACAAAAGCUAUCAUUUUCUAGGCAUAGAACAAACAGUUGAAUAAAUAGAACAGAGUAACGAAUCCAGAAACAGCCCCAAAUAGAUAAAUAAGCAUUUGAUAAAGGUAAAAUUCCAAAUCAG
rnacentral:lncRNA from 1 species